rnacentral:tRNA from 1 species
UCCUGGUGGCUCAGAUGGUAAAGCGUCUGCCUGCAAUGCGGGAGACCCAGGUUCAAUCCCUGGGUUGGGAA